GGGGCUGUGGCUCAGUGGUAGAGCACUUGUCUCACACGUGCAAGGCCCUGGGUUCGAUCCUCAGCACCA
rnacentral:tRNA from 1 species